rfam:Spinacia oleracea cultivar SynViroflay scaffold13799.con0003.1, whole genome shotgun sequence.
AACCUAUUAGCUCAAAUGGGAGAGCAAUGUGCUAUGGCACAUGAAUGUAGGUUCAAAUCCUACAUAGGUUG